GACGAACGCUGGCGGCGUGCCUAAUACAUGCGAGUAGAACGCUGAAGGAGGAGCUUGCUCUUCUGGAUGAGUUGCGAACGGGUGAGUAACGCGUAGGUAACCUGCCUGGUAGCGGGGGAUAACUAUUGGAAACGAUAGCUAAUACCGCAUAAGAGUAGAUGUUGCAUGACAUUUACUUAAAAGGUGCAAUUGCAUCACUACCAGAUGGACCUGCGUUGUAUUAGCUAGUUGGUGGGGUAACGGCUUACCAAGGCGACGAUACAUAGCCGACCUGAGAGGGUGAUCGGCCACACUGGGACGGAGACACGGCCCAGACUCCUACGGGAGGAAGCAGUAGGGAAUCUUCGGCAAUGGACGGAAGUCUGACCGAGCAACGCCGCGGGAGGGAAGAAGGAUUUCGGAUCGUAAAGCUCGGUUGUAAGAGAAGAACGAGUGUGAGAGUGGAAAGUUCACACUGUGACGGUAUCUUACCAGAAAGGGACGGCUAACUACGUG
rnacentral:rRNA from 1 species